rnacentral:rRNA from 1 species
UACGAAGGGGGCUAGCGUUGCUCGGAAUCACUGGGCGUAAAGGGUGCGUAGGCGGGUUUUUAAGUCAGAGGUGAAAUCCUGGAGCUCAACUCCAGAACUGCCUUUGAUACUGAGAAUCUUGAGUACGGGAGAGGUGAGUGGAACUGCGAGUGUAGAGGUGAAAUUCGUAGAUAUUCGCAAGAACACCAGUGGCGAAGGCGGCUCACUGGCCCGAUACUGACGCUGAGGCACGAAAGCGUGGGGAGCAAACAGA